CAUCAUUUACAGAUAAAACGACACUUAUGGUGGCACAAAACAGCACUAUCAGUAUUGCUGUUUUCUUCAUUUUCAUAAAUUGUGAUUUUUGGAAGAAAGAGAGAGAGAAAUAUGUUGGGACGAAAUUUCACGAACGCCUCGACUGCCUUUUAUGAAUUUCCGUUCUUGAAAUACCCCUGGGAUUGAAAGAAUUAACGGUAUUGCCACCACCAUUUUUGUAGCUGGUACAAGGAAGCAACAGGUUUGCACGUGCACUUCUCCUGCC
rnacentral:lncRNA from 1 species